CCCUUAGAUGUUCUGGGCCGCACGCGCGCUACACUGACGAAUGCAACGAGCUUAUAACCUUGGCCGAAAGGUCUGGGUAAUCUCCAAAUUUCGUCGUGAUGGGGAUAGAUUAUUGCAAUUAUUAAUCUUCAACGAGGAAUGCCUAGUAAGCGCAAGUCAUCAGCUUGCGUUGAUUACGUCCCUGCCCUUUGUACACACCGCCCGUCGCUCCUACCGAUUGAAUGGUCCGGUGAAGCGUUCGGACCGUGGCCUUUGGACGGUUCGCCGUCUGUUGGCUGCGGGAAGUUCGUUAAACCUUAUUAUUUAGAGGAAGGAGAAGUCGUANCA
rnacentral:rRNA from 1 species